rnacentral:rRNA from 1 species
AUACGGAGGGUGCAAGCGUUACUCGGAAUCACUGGGCGUAAAGGACGCGUAGGCGGGUUGGUAAGUCAGGUGUGAAAUCCUACAGCUUAACUGUAGAACUGCACUUGAAACUGCUAACCUAGAGUAUGGGAGGGGGAGAUGGAAUUAGUGGUGUAGGGGUAAAAUCCGUAGAUAUCACUAGGAAUACCGAAAGCGAAGGCGAUCUCCUGGAACAUAACUGACGCUAAGGCGUGAAAGCGUGGGGAGCAAACAGGAUUAGAAACCCCAGUAGUCC